UUUCUCUUGAGAUUCAUUUCAUCAUUUAUCCUCAAGGGUUUGAUGGAAAAAAACGGGGUGCGAACACAACACUGUGAGAACGGGUUUGACAAGCAGGGUGUCGCCAAAGUUUGACAGGGCCAAGGCCCAGUGAUGAAGCAGAUUUUCAGGGUAAGUUAUGACUUGAAUUGCCUUUUUCUGAACUUGUAAGUGUGAAUUUGAAGCUCAGUGCAACAAAGCAGUCUUAUUUAAAUGAUCUGUCAGACUUUAACCCUUUAAUGUCUGAAACCAAAAACCAUGGCCAGAAAAUUCAAAUGUUUUUGGAGCUGAAAUGUUUAUUUCACUUAUGACUGAAAACUAAUACAAUCGAUAUUUUAACAAAGAUAUUUAUUAUCUUGUUUAGAUGAAAACUGAUAAACCACAAGAGGACAUUUUUAUCAUUUAUCGGACUGUAUUCAGGUGUUUUUUAGUAAUUUGUUGAUUAUUUUGAUUUGAUAUUAGUGUCAUUAUAGUAUACAUCAAAUGUGAUAGAAGAAGCAUUUUAAGGAAAAACUGCAGCACUAAAGCUUGUUUGCUUCAUUCAUUUUUUUCCCUUAAACUAGAGGCAGAACUAGCAAAACACAACUUGAAAAACACUUCAAUUCCCUCUGCUGACCAGAAGGGGGCAGCAUUACUGCAGUUUCAAAUUUAUCUCUGCACAAGUUAACAGGGAAACUUACAAACUCAAUUACUAGCAGUUUUGAACCUAAUCUGUAGUUAUACCUAAUGGAAAAAAUGUGAAUAAAUGGCUAACUAGAUGGUGGAUACAGAGAUAAAUAGAAAUUUUUACUUAUUUUGGGAGAUGCAGAAAAGAAUGUUAAUAACAAAAUGUUUUAAGGUGCUGUAUGUGAGCUCUUAAGUAUUGAGUUCUUACCAGAAUAAAUCUUAAACAUCGUUCAAACAGCAUUUUAAGGCUAAUGGUUAUCCAUAUGUGGUGCAUGAACUGCUACUUAGUACUACUGUCAAUAAUAAUUCAUAAUGACAGACAAAGGUAUUUAGUGUUUAAAAUAUGGCUCCACAUUAUGAUCUGAUAACCUCGUAAACUGCUGAACCAGCCCCCAUAAAUCCUUAAUUAGAACCAGUCCUGCAGGAAGUGGAAAGACUGGUGGGACUGACGAGAGGGCAGGACUUCCAUGUGCUGCUCGUCAGACCACUAGAUGUCACGGCCUCCUCGAGAAAAGCCUCACAGAGGGCCUGCUGCUCGCUCCCCAGCUGGAGGUUUUCUUUUGUUUAUCCUCUGGCUUUAAGUAGGCCUCAGUCUGAGCUGUCACUCGGUCUGGUUUACAUCUCUGAUUGCAGAAAAAGAAAAAGGACGUCAUUGUUUUAAGAUACGUCUGCUUUAACACAUGAUUCAGAUGACUAUAGGAACAUGCUCAUUCAUCAGUCACCUCACGUAUGGUCUGUCUUACAUCUCAAAAAGCUUGCAUAACUUCCUCCGAUCUCUCCCAUAAGACAUUAUCUCGGCUCUGCUUGUUGAGCCUGGGAGCUGCUCUGCGUUCCACCUUUCCUCCCCGACGUUCUCCCAUUUCUCAACACCCCACCUGGAAUGGAGACCAGAUGUGGAGCAUGGAGACGGAGAGAUUGCUUUGCUUUGCUAUAAGGAACGAGGGAGGGCUGGAGAGAAAAUGUUGGAACGACAUUAAAGUUUGUCUGGAUGCCAUUAAGUACAAUUUGAUGUAAUGUGCAGUUUGGGACGUGACAUUUUGAAUGGAAACUGUGCUCACCAGAUGAGAGAGAUUUGGGCCUUGCAGAGUCAGAGGGGGGUGUUGUACUUGAAGC